rnacentral:rRNA from 1 species
CGCCUUGCCAGCCCGCUCAGAACUUAAAUGAAUUGACGGGGGCCCGCACAAGCGGUGGAGCAUGUGGUUUAAUUCGAUGAUACGCGAGGAACCUUACCUGGGCUCAAAUGUAUGUUGACGUAUUCUGAAAGGGAUACUUCUUCGGACAAUAUACAAGGUGCUGCAUGGUUGUCGUCAGCUCGUGCCGUGAGGUGUCGGGUUAAGUCCCAUAACGAGCGCAACCCCUAUCAUUAGUUGCCAUCAGGUCAAGCUGGGGACUCUAAUGAAACUGCCUACGCAAGUAGUGAGGAAGGUGGGGAUGACGUCAAAUCAUCAUGGCCCUUACGGCCUGGGCUACACACGUGCUACAAUGGUCGGUACAAAGGGUUGCCAAGCCGCGAGGUGGAGCUAAUCCCAUAAAACCGAUCGUAGUCCGGAUCGCAGUCUGCAACUCGACUGCGUGAAGUCGGAAUCGCUAGUAAUCGUGAAUCAGAAUGUCGCGGUGAAUACGUUCCCGGGCCUU